rnacentral:rRNA from 1 species
GACGAAGGGGGGCUAGCGUUGUUCGGAAUUACUGGGCGUAAAGCGAGUGUAGGUGGUUGUCCAAGUUGGAUGUGAAAGCCUUGAGCUCAACUCAAGAAAUGCAUUCAGGACUGGGGCGGCUAGAGGACCGGAGAGGAUAGUGGAAUUCCCAGUGUAGUGGUGAAAUACGUAGAGAUUGGGAAGAACACCAGUGGCGAAGGCGGCUAUCUGGACGGUUUCUGACACUAAGACUCGAAAGCGUGGGGAGCAAACAGG